rnacentral:rRNA from 1 species
AGUUUAGGCAAAUCCGGACUUCCUUAACACUGAGAGAUGAUGACGAGGCUCUACGGAGCUGAAGUAACCGAUACCACACUUCCAGGAAAAGCCACUAAGCGAAAGGCUUUACUAAACCGUACUGAAAACCGACACAGGUGGUCAGGUAGAGAAUACUCAGGCGCUUGAGAGAACUCGGGUGAAGGAACUAGGCAAAAUAGCACCGUAACUUCGGGAGAAGGUGCGCCGGCGUAGAUUGUAGUCCCUCGCGGGCGAAGGUUGAACCGGUCGAAGAUACCAGCUGGCUGCAACUGUUUAUUAAAAACACAGCACUCUGCAAACACGAAAGUGGACGUAUAGGGUGUGAUGCCUGCCCGGUGCUGGAAGGUUAAUUGAUGGUGUAAUCGAAAGAGAAGCUCCUGAUCGAAGCCCCAGUAAACGGCGGCCGUAACUAUAACGGUCCUAAGGUAGCGAAAUUCCUUGUCGGGUAAGUUCCGACCUGCACGAAUGGCAUAAUGAUGGCCAGGCUGUCUCCACCCGAGACUCAGUGAAAUUGAAAUCGCCGUGAAGAUGCGGUGUACCCGCGGCUAGACGGAAAGACCCCGUGAACCUUUACUAUAGCUUGACACUGAACAUUGAAUUUUGAUGUGUAGGAUAGGUGGGAGACUUAGAAGUAGUCACGCCAGUGAUUAUGGAGUCGUCCUUGAAAUACCACCCUUUAACGUUUGAUGUUCUAACGAAGAUUACGAAACGUGGUCUCGGACAGUGUCUGGUGGGUAGUUUGACUGGGGCGGUCUCCUCCCAAAGAGUAACGGAGGAGCACGAAGGUUUGCUAAUGACGGUCGGACAUCGUCAGGUUAGUGCAAUGGUAUAAGCAAGCUUAACUGCGAGACAGACAAGUCGAGCAGGUACGAAAGUAGGUCAUAGUGAUCCGGUGGUUCUGCAUGGAAGGGCCAUCGCUCAACGGAUAAAAGGUACUCCGGGGAUAACAGGCUGAUACCGCCCAAGAGUUCAUAUCGACGGCGGUGUUUGGCACCUCGAUGUCGGCUCAUCACAUCCUGGGGCUGAAGUAGGUCCCAAGGGUAUGGCUGUUCGCCAUUUAAAGUGGUACGCGAGCUGGGUUUAGAACGUCGUGAGACAGUUCGGUCCCUAUCUGCCGUGGGCGUUGGAGAAUUGAUUGGGGCUGCUCCUAGUACGAGAGGACCGGAGUGGACGCACCACUGGUGUUCCGGUUGUGUCGCCAGACGCAUUGCCGGGUAGCUAAGUGCGGAAGAGAUAAGUGCUGAAAGCAUCUAAGCACGAAACUUGCCAAGAGAUGAGUUCUCCCAGAUUACAAAUCUGUAAGGGUUGUUUAAGACUAAGACGUAGAUAGGUGCGGUGUGUAAGUGUAGUGAUACAUUGAGCUAACGCAUACUAAUUGCCCGAGAGGCUUAACUAUACAACGCUCAAGGGUUUUG